GGGAGGGCCUUCCCUACCUCAGAGAAGACUGGCAGCCAGGACCCCAGCGGGUGAGCGACAUCACAUGGGGAUGACAGCCAGGACAGCUCUGGAGGAUGCGGUCCACCAUCUGCAGCAACAUGCUGUGAUCUCAUACAAAUACAGAAGAAGUGGCCAGGUCUCCCAUCCCUGGAAACCCUGGCCUCAAGCUACUGUGGGUUUUCUUUAACCAGUGUCUAAGCCUGAAUGUGUCCUGAGUGUAGGCGGAACGGCACUGUAGUGGGAAAGAGUACCCUGAGCACAGGCUCACUGGUGUGUCUACUUACCCAGCGCGAAGAGUGCAGCCCUGCCCGUGUACUUGGAGAUCUUCCCAUACAGCAGAGAGCACAGUGAGGAGGCACCUGAGAAGCAGAUCAUCACAUAGCCCACAAAAUGGAUGCCCAGGGCACAGGUGGCAAAAGACUAGGGAGAAGCAUAGAGCUGCAUUACUGGUGUGUAUAGGUCUCACUACGGCUUCAGUCUGCAGCUGCUGUGUGGAAGUUAACAUGCUGAUGUGGCCGAGGACCUGCCUCUCCCAGCCUAGGAGGGCAACACUGCGGCAGGAGGAUCAGGAGGCGCAGACGCUUGUCGUUUUUAAACAGCAUGAAGGUGGCCAGUAAAGUCGACCAGAGAGGUGGUGAUCUGGGCCCUGCUUCUCUCUCGUUCUCCAUUCUGUCUUCCACAGACUCGAGAAACACGAUCAGCAGCAGGAUAGCCAGGAUACUGCUGCCUGGAAGGACACACAGACAGGUGUCGGUGCUGCCGGGGUCAGACGUGGCCCACCCCUCAUCUCCACGGACCAUGUAUGUGUUAGGUCUACAGUUAACCCACCACAGUGGAUCCGCACGGCUGUCACCCAGAGAGGAAUAGCACGCUUUUUAAAGAAGAUUAAAAACAAAAGUCCCCCAAGACAAGACAACGAGAGGAAAGCAAAGCGGUGUGUCAGUUGAAGAGGCACGUAGAAACCUAUCCGUGCAUUAAACACCCUGAAGGCCCCGCAGACAUAGGCUGUCUGGGGACAGGCUUUGGAGAGGGGUGUGUUUUGAGGGACAAUUAACAGAGGGCACCAUGAGUCUUGGGACCUUUUACUGCAUUUGUACUUUGAACGGUGUCAAUGGGUUAUCUGUGUGUGUGGCGGGGGAAGAAUCCCAAACUGUUCAUUUGACCCUGAACAUUCUGCACAUCUAAAAACUGCAAAAUGCAA